CAGAUAACUAGCGUCCCCUUUACGCCACCCCCACAUCCCCCCGCAGCCAAAACUCUGCCUAACAGCGCCUCCCAGCCCCUCCCAACAGCCCCUCUCAGCCCCGUCGAACCGGCGUCUCCCAACCCCUACCAUAUCCACCGAACUAGCGCCUCCCAGUCAGUUUAUUCACAACUUCGUCACUUCCUGCUUCUGGCCUGCCUCUAUUCCACCGUUGUCACAGAUUUUAAUAUAUGUUUCGAUUUUUUAUUGAUGAAAUUGUGAUGAUUUGAAUUCUGUUAAUGUGAAAUUAGGAUUAGGUUUAGAGUUUGAAUUCUGUAAUUGAUAAAUUUAGAUUGAGUUACAUUUCCUCUAAAAUUGAGGUUAGGGUUUGUGAAACUGGGACAUUUUAGGGUUUGGUUUUUGUUAAAUGUAAAUUAUUUUUUUUAUA